rnacentral:rRNA from 1 species
CGGUAAUUCCUGCUCCAAUAGCGUAUACUAAAGUUGUUGCAGUUAAAAAGCUCGUAGUUGGAUUUCUGCGGGGACGGAGCGGCCGGACGCAACUUGCGUCUCGAGCUAGCGCUUUCCCCGCAUCCUGCCGCGAACCGUGCUACCAUUAGUUUGGUGGCGCUGGGGAUCGGCUCGAUUACUUUGAGAAAAAUAGAGUGUUCAAAGCAGGCCACACGCCUUGAAUAAGUUAGCAUGGAAUAAUGACUAAGGACUUCGGUUCUAUUCUGUUGGUGUUCGGGACUGAAGUAAUGAUUGAUAGGGACAGUUGGGGCGGUCUGUAUUCCAAAGCGAGAGGUGAAAUUCUUAGACCUUCGGAAGACAAACAGCUGCGAAAGCGUUCCGCAAGGAUGUUCCCUUUGAUCAAGAACGAAAGUUGGGGGAUCGAAGACGAUCAGAUACCGUCGUAGUCUCAACUAUAAACUAUACCAGCUAGGGAUCGGCCAACGUUUAAUUAUUCGACUUGGUCGGCACCUUAUGAGAAAUCAAAGCAUCUGGGUUCCGGGGGGAGUAUGGUCGCAAGGCUGAAACUUAAAGGAAUUGACGGAAGGGCACCACCAGCCGUGGAGCCUGUGGCUUAAUUUGACUCAACACGGGAAAACUUACCAGGUCCAGACAUAGGAAGGAUUGACAGAUUGAUAGCUCUUUCUUGAUUCUGUGGGUGGUGGUGCAUGGCCGUUUUUAGUUGGUGGAGUGAUUUGUCUGCUUAAUUGCGUUAACGAACGAGACCCCAGCCUGCUAAAUAGCGCGGCCGAGCUUUGCUCGGUGCGAGCUUCUUAGAGGGACCAUGAUGCGCGAUAGCACAAGGAAGUUUGGGGCAACAACAGGUCUGUGAUGCCCUUAGAUGUUCUGGGCCGCACACGGGCUACACUGGCGCCUGCAACGAGCAUAUCAGCUGGCCCGAGAGGGUCUUGGCUAAUCUUUUGAACCGGCGCCGUGCUUGGGAUUGACCUUUGCAAUUGUUGGUCAUGCAACGAGGAAUGCCUUGUAAACGCGAGUCAUCAGCUCGCAUUGAAUACGUCCCUGCCCUUUGUACACACCGCCCGUCGCUCCUACCGAUGAAUGUUCCGAUGAAAUUUUCGGAGAGCGCCAGAGAACGGGGCUCUGCCUUGCAGAUCUGGAGGCUCAAAGUCACUUAAAUCUGAACAUUUCGAGGAAGGAGAAGUCGUAACAAGGUAACC